rnacentral:rRNA from 1 species
AAUCAACGCUGGCGGCGUGCCUCAGACAUGCAAGUCGAACGAUUAAGACUUCCUUCGGGAAGUGUAUAAAGUGGCGCACGGGUGAGUAACACGUAAGUAAUCUACCUUCGAGUGGGGAAUAACACCGGGAAACCGAUGCUAAUACCGCAUAAUGCAGCGGCAUCGCAAGAUGACAGUUGUUAAAGGAGCAAUUCGCUUGAAGAGGAGCUUGCGGCAGAUUAGCUAGUUGGUAAGGUAAUGGCUUACCAAGGCUACGAUCUGUAUCCGGUCUAAGAGGACGGUCGGACACACUGACACUGAAUAACGGGUCAGACUCCUUCGGGAGGCAGCGGGCGGGAAUUUUGGGCAAUGGGCGAAAGCCUGACCCAGCAACGCCGCGUGAGGGAUAAAGUAUUUCGGUAUGUAAACCUCGAAAGAAUGGGAAGAAUAAGUGACGGUACCAUUUAUAAGCUCCGGCUAACUACGUGCCAGCCGCCGCCGUAAGAC